CUUAUCUCUCAUCCACACUCUCAUUGCUGUUGGUGGUAAUUGAGUAUAAAAGUAUCAUCAAAACCCAUGGAUGGAGUUCCCAUGGAUGGAGUUAGUUUUCAAAUGGACUGAGGGUAAGGAUGGUGGUUAGAAGGAGUUUUAUAAUGAAGUAUUAUGAGGAGAACUUCAGAAAAAAGAGGAGGCACUACUUUCAUGACACUUUUCCCUUGGUCCAGUGGAGCAAAAGGCAGAUAAGGUUCAGAGGCUUAUUAAAUCAUUGCAUAGGUAAAUGGAAGGAAGUCAAAUGGGAUUGUAUCAUUGUUCACCUUUAUCUGGGAGUUUAGUGGCGUCACUUCAUUCUAAGAAGACUUCUGACAUCAAGCAAAUUUUAGAUUACUCCAUUUGGAAUUUCAUGGAUGAACGAAAUUCAUGUUAAUCAUGGGGUAGAUCAUGUUUGUUGGAUCUUUCAGUUAUUAGAUACAGCAUUUAU